AUGCAGCUUGACGGCCGCGGCGUCGUACGCUCUGGCGGCGUCCUCGGCGGUGCCGAAGAGGCCGAGCCACCGAGAAUUCUCACCGGCGUGCCUGAUCUGCGCCGCGUACUUGCCGCUGGGCUUCCGGUGCACGCCGCGGAACUUGGUCCCGGUCCCGGUGUCCGUCCUUGCCGCCGCCUUCUUCCUCGCCAUGGACUGCUGCUUCAGGUUGGUUUUGGCCUUGGCGCCGCGCAGCCUGACGGCCUCCGCGUCGUACGCUCCGGCGGCCUCCUCGGCCGUGUCGAAGGCGCCGAGAAACAGCUUCGCUCGCCGCGCCGGGUCCCAGAUGCGCGCAGAGUACUUCUUGCCGCCCCCUGUCUGGCGCACGCCGCGGAACACCGGCAGAGAGCUCGAGCUCGACCUCGACCUCGACUUAGCGGCCGCCGCCGCCUUCCUUCCGGCCUGACCUUUGAAGCCGACCUCCCCCGCCGCGCGCGCCUUCUUCAGGCCGAUCGCGCCGCGCAGCUUGACCGCCGACGCGGCGUAGGCUCUGGCGGCCUCCUCGGCGGUGCUGAAGCCGCCGAGGUACCUCCGAGCUCCCCCCUUUGGGCACCUGAUCUUCGCCACACACUUGCCGCUCGGCCUCCUGCGCACGCGGCGGAACACGGUCCGGGCGACCGGCCUGAGCGGCGCCUUCCUCUCCUUGGCGCUCUCCGCCGCAUCAUGGCCUGGGCACGACUCCACGGCCCCGACAUCCUCGCCCACGCAGGAGAAGUGCCGGAGCGGCGCGUCGCCGUCGCCAUCGGCCCCGACAUCGCCGCCCACGCAGGAGACGUGCCGGAGCGGCGCGUCCCCGGCAUCGGCCUUGGCGUCCGUGUCGACGUGCAGGAGCGGCGCGUCGCCGUCGCCGUCGGCAGCCGUGUGCUGGCGGAAGUAGGUGAGCGCCGUGGCCGCGCCGUGCAGCCCGACGGCGGCGGCGUCGUAGGCCCUGGCGGCCUCCUGGGCGGUGGCGAAGGCGCCGAGGUUCUUCAUGGCGCGCCGCGAUGGGUCCCAGAUCCGCGCCCGGUACAUGCCGCGCUGCAGCCGGUAGACGCCGAGGACCUCCGACCGGACCGUCUUCUUCCUCCUGCCGUCGGCCGUCCCGUCGUGCUCCGCCGCCAUCGCAGCGCCGAGGGGAGAGCGCGUGAGGUUCUUGGGGGUUUUCGGGGAGGCACAGGAGGAUGA
rnacentral:rRNA from 1 species